rnacentral:tRNA from 1 species
GCCUUCUUAGCUCAGUCGGUAGAGCACCUGGCUGUUAACCAGGGUGUCGUUGGUUCGAGUCCAUCAGGAGGCGCCA